rnacentral:lncRNA from 1 species
UUCUGGUGAGAAGCCCAGCAAGAAUCAUUCUGUAGCUAAGCCCGUUGAUGUGGGCGGCUCUUCAAGUUUUGGCAAAUUGAAACAAUGCACCUGGGAUUCCCGUAAUGCAGAUUUCAGUGGCAGUUCUAUCAAGAUGCCUACUUUACGCCUAGUUCCGGUCCCUGCGAAUGAAUGUCCAUUUCCCCAGGUGCCAAAGAACGCUUCACGUCUAGUGCAGGUUCCUGCAAAUGAGUGUCCAUUUUCUGGGGUGCCAAACGACCCUGUCCCACCUCCUCUUGAGGUCCCA